GACGAACGCUGGCGGCGUGCUUAACACAUGCAAGUCGAACGGAAAGGCCCUGCUUUUGUGGGGUGCUCGAGUGGCGAACGGGUGAGUAACACGUGAGUAACCUGCCCUUGACUUUGGGAUAACUUCAGGAAACUGGGGCUAAUACCGGAUAGGAGCUCCUGCUGCAUGGUGGGGGUUGGAAAGUUUCGGCGGUUGGGGAUGGACUCGCGGCGUAUCAGCUUGUUGGUGGGGUAGUGGCUUACCAAGGCUUUGACGGGUAGCCGGCCUGAGAGGGUGACCGGCCACAUUGGGACUGAGAUACGGCCCAGACUCCUACGGGAGGCAGCAGUGGGGAAUAUUGCACAAUGGGCGGAAGCCUGAUGCAGCAACGCCGCGUGCGGGAUGACGGCCUUCGGGUUGUAAACCGCUUUCGCCUGUGACGAAGCGUGAGUGACGGUAAUGGGUAAAGAAGCACCGGCUAACUACGUGCCAGCAGCCGCGGUGAUACGUGGGGUGCGAGCGUUGUCCGGAUUUAUUGGGCGUAAAGGGCUCGUAGGUGGUUGAUCGCGUCGGAAGUGUAAUCUUGGGGCUUAACCCUGAGCGUGCUUUCGAUACGGGUUGACUUGAGGAAGGUAGGGGAGAAUGGAAUUCCUGGUGGAGCGGUGGAAUGCGCAGAUAUCAGGAGGAACACCAGUGGCGAAGGCGGUUCUCUGGGCCUUUCCUGACGCUGAGGAGCGAAAGCGUGGGGAGCGAACAGGCUUAGAUACCCUGGUAGUCCACGCUGUAAACGGUGGGUACUAGGUGUGGGGUCCAUUCCACGGGUUCCGUGCCGUAGCUAACGCUUUAAGUACCCCGCCUGGGGAGUACGGCCGCAAGGCUAAAACUCAAAGGAAUUGACGGGGCCCCGCACAAGCGGCGGAGCAUGCGGAUUAAUUCGAUGCAACGCGUAGAACCUUACCUGGGUUUGACAUGGAUCGGGAGUGCUCAGAGAUGGGUGUGCCUCUUUUGGGGUCGGUUCACAGGUGGUGCAUGGCUGUCGUCAGCUCGUGUCGUGAGAUGUUGGGUUAAGUCCCGCAACGAGCGCAACCCUUGUUCACUGUUGCCAGCACGUUAUGGUGGGGACUCAGUGGAGACCGCCGGGGUCAACUCGGAGGAAGGUGGGGAUGACGUCAAGUCAUCAUGCCCCUUAUGUCCAGGGCUUCACGCAUGCUACAAUGGCUGGUACAGAGAGUGGCGAGCCUGUGAGGGUGAGCGAAUCUCGGAAAGCCGGUCUCAGUUCGGAUUGGGGUCUGCAACUCGACCUCAUGAAGUCGGAGUCGCUAGUAAUCGCAGAUCAGCAACGCUGCGGUGAAUACGUUCCCGGG
rnacentral:rRNA from 1 species